UAUAGGGUCCUAUUGGGGUCUAUGGGCUCUAUAAUGUGGGAGUUAUGGGCUCUAUGGGGUCUCUAUGGGGUCCUAUGGGGUCUCUAUGGGGUCCUAUGGGGUCUCUAUGGGGUCUAUAGGGUCUCUAUGGGGUCUAUGGGGCGCUAUGGGGUCCUAUGGGUCUCUAUGGGGUCUCUAUGGGUCUCUAUGGGGCUCUGUAGGGUAUCUAUGGGGGUCUAUGGAGCUCUAUAGGGUCUCUGUGGGGCUCCAUGGGGUCUCUAUGGGGUCUGUGGGGCUCUAUGGGGUCUCUAUGGGGUCUCUUUGGGGCUCUAUGGGGUAUCUAUGGGGCUUUAUGAGGCCCUAUGGGGUUUCUAUGGGGCUCUGUGGUGUCUAUGGGGUUUCUAUGGGGUCCUAUGGGGUCUAUGGGCCUUUAUGGGGCUCUAUGGGGUCUAUGGGGCUUUAUGAGGCUUUAUAGGGCUCUAUAAUGUGGGAGUUAUGGGGUCUAUGGGGUCUGUAGGGUCUAUGGGGUCGCUAUGGGGUCCCAAUGUGUCCCUAUGGGUCUAUGGGGUUCCUGUGGGGUCUCAAUGUGUCCCUAUGGGGCUUUAUGGGGUCUAUGUGGUCUAUGGGCUCUAUGGGGUCCCUAUGGGGUCUCACUGUCCCUAUAUGUCCCUAUGUGUCUAUGGGGUCCCUAUGGGGUCUCAGUGUGUCCCUAUGGGUCUCUAUGUGUCCCUAUGGGGUCUCAGUGUGUCCCUAUGGGUCCCAAUGUGUCCCUAUGUGUCUAUGGGGUCUCUAUGGGAUCUAUGGGGUCCCUAUGGGGUCUCACUGUCCCUAUAUGUCCCUAUGUCCCUAUGGGGUCUCUAUGGGGUCUGUGGGGUCCCUAUGGAGUCUCACUGNAUGGGGUCUGUGGGGUCCCUAUGGAGUCUCACUGUCCCUAUAUGUCCCUAUGGGGUCCCUAUGGGGUCUCACUGUCCCUAUAUGUCCCUAUGUCCCUAUGGGGUCUCUAUGGGGUCUGUGGGGUCCCUAUGGAGUCUCACUGUCCCUAUAUGUCCCUAUGGGGUCCCUAUGGGGUCUCACUGUCCCUAUAUGUCCCUAUGUGUCUAUGGGGUCAUUAUGGGAUCUAUGGGGUCUCUAUGGGAUCUAUGGGGUCUCUAUGGGGUCUAUGGGGUCUCUAUGGGGUCUAUGGGGUCCCUAUGGGGUCUCACUGUCCCUAUAUGUCCCUAUGUGUCUAUGGGGUCUUUAUGGGGUCUAUGGGGUCAUUAUGGGGUCUAUGGGGUCCCUAUGGGGUCCCAAUGUCCCUAUAUGUGUCUAUGGGGUCUUUAUGGGAUCUAUAGGGCCUCUAUGGGGUCUAUGGGGUCUCUAUGGGGUCUAUGGGGUCCCUAUGGGGUCCCACUGUCCCUAUAUGUCCCUAUGUGUCUAUGGGGUCUCUAUGGGGUCCCUAUGGGGUCUCACUGUCCCUAUAUGUCCCUAUGGGGUCCCUAUGGGGUCCCACUGUCCCUAUAUGUCCCUAUGUCCCUAUGGGGUCCCUAUGGGGUCCCACUGUCCCUAUAUGUGGCUGUGCCCCACAGGACGAGCAGCUGUUGGACGACUCGAAGACGUUGGGGGACUGUGGGUUCACCAGCCAAACAGCCAGACCUCAGGCACCCGCCACCGUGGGGCUGGCGCUGCGCAACGCGGACGAGUGUUUUGAAGCUCUUCGGCAUCGACUGGCUCUUUUUGCCAGCCCCCCGAACUCCAUGUGAUGAAACCCCAGGACUCGGCCGGGGGCGCAACGGAGAACCCCCAGUGCAGUGACCCCAUAAGGACCCCAUUAGACCCAAAUACCCCAAUACCCCCCCAUAAACCCCCAUUAGAACCCCAAAUACCCCAAUACCCCCCCAUAAACCACAU
rnacentral:lncRNA from 1 species